UACGUAGGGCGCGAGCGUUGUCCGGAAUCAUUGGGCGUAAAGAGCUCGUAGGCGGCCGGUUGCGUCUGCUGUGAAUCCCGGGCUUAACCCCGGGCGUGCAGUGGAUACGGGCUGGCUGGAGGCAGGCAGGGGAGAAUGGAAUUCCCGGUGUAGCGGUGAAAUGCGCAGAUAUCGGGAGGAACACCGGUGGCGAAGGCGGUUCUCUGGGCCUGUGCUGACGCUGAGGAGCGAAAGCGUGGGGAGCGAACAGG
rnacentral:rRNA from 1 species